rnacentral:rRNA from 1 species
UGGGGAAUAUUGGGCAAUGGGCGAAAGCCUGACCCAGCAACGCCGCGUGAGUGAUGAAGGCCUUCGGGUUGUAAAACUCUUUGGACAGGGACGAAGAAAGUGACGGUACCUGUAGAACAAGCCACGGCUAACUACGUGCCAGCAGCCGCGGUAAUACGUAGGUGGCGAGCGUUAUCCGGAUUUACUGGGCGUAAAGGGCGUGUAGGCGGCUAGAUAAGUGUGAUGUUUAAAUCCAAGGCUUAACCUUGGCGUUCAUUACAAACUGUUUAGCUUGAGUGCUGGAGAGGAUAGUGGAAUUCCUAGUGUAGCGGUAGAAUGCGUAGAUAAUAGGAGGAACACCGGUGGCGAAGGCGGCUAUAUGGACAGUAACUGACGCUGAGGCGCGAAAGCGUGGGGAGCAAACAGG